rnacentral:lncRNA from 1 species
GAGUCCGGUCUGUUCCGGAGACUCUGAGCGCGGCCGCGGAGCUGCAGUGGCGGGGAGUGGGGUGCGGAUCUUGUGUUUGCGCACGCAGUCGCCGGCCACCUCAGGCCGGAGCUAGAGAUACGGCUCGGGAUAGGAGGGCCCGGCGGCUCUGAGGCAGGUUCGCCUCGAGCCGCACGGCCCGGAGCAGCGGCUCCGCGGUGGUCCCCGGGGCUUGAGAGGGGUGCGGGCCUGGGAGCCCCUGAGGGCCUGAUUUACGGAACUCCCCCUCCUUCCUCCUUUCUGCCGUUCCCUGCUCUGUGGCGGAUGCGCAGGGAUCAGUAGGGACGGCAGCAGUAGGGCCACUCGGGCCUGCCCCGCUUCCCGCAUUGCCCGGUUUGGCGCGCCGCCUCCGGGCCUUGGCAAAGCCCCAGCGCCCGAUUGUCACUGACCAGUGCUUGGAAGUCCUUUACCGACUGCCCGUCAGCGUCCCGCGGAGAGGAUUUUGCGUCUCCAAAGACGCCCCUCUUCCGAAAACAGGCUCCUCUGUGUUCUCAGUCGGGUAUAUUUUUCUGUCUCCAAACUAGAUUGGCAGCCGUUUUUUGAGAGCAGGGAUGGCCAUCUGGGACCUCCACCCGUGAAAAGGCGGCUCAUUGGUCUGACUCCAACACUAAAUUACGCCAUCCAGGAAGCCUUUCCUAGUCACCUCUGUUGGAGAUCGUCCUCCUUUGUGUGUCGGUUGUUAGUAAAGAGCACACGUUCUGUGGAAAGAUGUUGAGGUAUCUGCUGGAUGGCUUUGAUAGAAACAAAUGUCAGCUGUUUUUUCAGAUGGCAUUUGUCUUGUUUCAGCCUGGUUGUUGGUAGCUUUUCUGUCGCCUGGCUUGAGGGCAAGGACUGUAUGUUUAUUUUUCACGUUAAGAUGCCUUUAUGUGCAUGUGUCUGUUUCAUGAAUACAUAGGUGAAUUGAGUUCCCCUUAAAUAGGAUUUCCCUCUUAUUUUAUAGGUUUUUUUUUUUCUCUCAAGUUGUUUCACUCUGGGGGAAAUGUGACCAUUGUGAAAUAUCAUCGCUUAGUUAAAAAGAAAGUAGAAUUCAGCAGUAGCUGCUUUUUUUAAUACUAUGAAAAGACAUUCCUAAGCAAGAUGAAGCUUUGAGACUUUUCCUAAGUAGGACCUACUGCUGAGAGUAAGUCUUGGGGAGAAUAAGCCAAUUAAGAAUGAGUCUUUGGUUCUGAUAAAGUAACCAUGGAGGUGAUGGAUAAUGAGUGUAGGUCCUUGCUCACACUUCUGGCCAUAUGAGCCCGGAGCCAGGGAGGUACUAUAAAAGGAAUGGGCUCCUGUAAUGGACUGUGACUGCAGUGGUGGUAUAUAGCAAGACUUCCGGUUUGCAGUAGGUUUAGAAGCCUAAAUAGUCUCCCUGGUUGUCUCUGCCAGGGCCACAAAUAGUUGUGCUGUGCAUCUCAAAAGUGUGGUCUGGGGAUCUGCAGCGUCACUGUCACCAUCACUUGGGAGGUUGUUAAGAAAUGCAUGUUAUCAGGCCCUACCCCACGCCUACUCAAUUUAGAAUCUGUAGGGCUAGGGGACCACUAAUCUUUAAGAAGUUGAUAUGGUUAGGCUUUAUGUCCACACCCAAAUCUCAUCUUGAAUUGUAAUUCCCAUAAUCCCCACCUUUCAAGGGAGAGACCAGGUGGAGGUAAUUGAAUUAUGGAGGCAGCUUCCCCCAUGCUGUUCUCAUGAUAGUGAGUUCUCACAAGAUGUGAUGGUUUUAUAAGGGGAUCUUGCCUCUUCGCUCAGCACUUCUUCCUGCCUCCUUGUGAGGAAAGUGCCUUGCUUCCCCCUUUGCCUUCUGCCAUGUUUGUAAGUUUUCUGAGGCUUCCCCAGCCAUGCUGAACUGUGAGUCAAUUAAACUUCUUUCCUUUAUAAAUUACCCAGUCUUGGGCAUUCUUUGUAGCAGUAUCCUUUAUAGCAGUAUGUAUAGCUGUAUGGACUAGUACAGAAGUUUUCCAGAUAAUUCUGUGCUCGGAAAAGUUUGGGAACCACAGCAGAACCUUGUUACUCAACAUGUGGUCUGUGGGCUGUGCAGCAUGGGCAUCACCUGGGGUCUUCUGAGAAAAGCCAGGUCUCAGGUCCUACCCAAGACCUGUGUAGCCAAAAUCUGCAUUUUAAUAUGACCCCCAGGUCAUUUAUGUGUACAUCACACUUUGAGAAGCACUGCACCAGAAAUCUUUUAACACUGUUCAUUACAUCCAUCCCAUGGAAGUAUCUUGUCUUGGGAUCCCGAGGGUGUGAGUUCUUCCGUCUUACUGGCUUUUUCCUGUCUGAUACAUGAUGUCCAUUUUAAAAAUUUUAUUUAUUUUAACUUUUUGAGGUAGAGUCUAACUUUGUCACCCAGGCUGGUGUGCAGUGGGGUGAUUUCGGCUCACUGCAACCUCCGUCUCCCGGAUUGAAACGAUUCUCCUGUCUCAGCCUCCUGAGUAGCUGGCAUCACGUGCUGGCCACCACGCCCGGUUAAUUUUUGUAUGUUUAGUAGAGACAGAGCUUCACCAUGUUGGCCAGGCUGGUCUCAAACUUCUGAUCUCAAGUCAUCCACCUGCCUUGGCCUCCCAAAGUGCUGGGAUUACAGGUGUCCUCCACUGCGCCCAGCCCAGUGUUCAUUUUUCAAUUGUUUGACUUAGUAUAAACACUCUCCAUCAUUCCUGCCUUCUGUGACAACAGACUGUGCGUGUUUCCUCUGUCUACCUUUCAGGCAUUCCUUUUAAGUUUCAUGCAGCUACUCCUCCUCCCUCCUCCCUUCUCUUUCUCUUCUUUCUUCUUUUCUUCUUUCUUCCUCUUCCUUCUUCUUCCUCUUCCUCCUGUUCUUCCUCCUCCUCCUCUCUUCUUUCUUCUUCUCCUCCCUUCUCCCUUUUUGGAAAGAGGACUUACUGUGUCAUCCAGCCUAGAGUGCAGUGGCUGAAUCAUGGCUCAGUGCAGCCUUGCUCUCAAAGGCUCAAGCAAUCCUCCCAUCUCAUCUUCCAGAAUAGCUAGGUUACAGGCAUGCACCACCAUGCCUGACUAAUUUUUUAAAAAUUUUUUUGUAAAGAUUGGGGGUGGCAGGGGGUCUCUCUGUUGCCCAGGCUGGUCUCAAACUCCUGGGCUGCAGCGAUCCUCUUGCCUCAGCCUUCCAAAUUGUUGGGAUUACAGGCAUGAGCCACCAUGCCUGGCCUCCUCUUCCUCUUAAAAAUCAAUGAUUCUGUGGCCCGUGGAUCUGAUUUCCACUGAUACUCUGAUAACUCCUGUUUUUAUGUCCAGGUGUAUCUCCUGGUCUCCAGGUGCCAUAUGUCCACUGCCUAUUGGACAUUUCCAUGUGUGUAAACACCUCAAACUCAACAUGUUAAACCUUUUUCUAAUCCCCACACUUGCGGUUCCUUCUGUGUGCUCCAUUUACCUUAUUGCUCAAAUCAAGAGCCUAGAAGCCAUCCUUGAUUCCUCUCUAUUGUGUAAUCCACACAUCCAAUCAUCCAUUGAGUCCUGUUGGCAUUUAUCUCGUAAAUACCUCAGAUCUUGUUCACUUUGCUCAUCUCUGUUGCCACCACCGUAGUCCAUUUACCUGUAUGUAAUAACCAUAGUGAUCUUACUAAAAUAUAAAUCCCUUGGAGGCGUUUUGGCUUUAUUAUAAAAAUUAAGCUCCAUGACACAGCUUGUAAGGACUGCCACGAAUCAGGCUCUGUUUCCCUCUUCAACCUCUCCUUCACUUUCUAUUCACAUAAACCUCUGUCAGAGGUUUGUCACGUGGCUUAUAAAAAGUCUUAAACCCUCUUUAAUUGACUAGGUACUCUUCAGCCUUUAGACCUCAGCUUACACGAUCUGUGCUGCCUCAUGUUUAUCCUCAUACAGUAUCCGGUUCCACAGAAUCAUGGUUUUUCUUUGUGAACAACAGAAUACCGUGGAAGUGACAGUGUGGGACUUCUGAGGCUAAGUCAUAAAAGACAUCCCAGUUUCAGCCUUAGCCUCUCUUGGAUUGCUCACUUAGCGGGGAUGCCAGCCACCAUGUAGUGAGGACACUCAAACUGCCUGUAGAGAAGGCCACGUAGGCAACAGCCUGCACCACCUUGGCAGCCAUGGGAGUGAGCCAUCUUGGAAGUAUUAGGUUGGUGGGACAUUAAAAGUAAUGGCAAAAACCAAGAUUACUUUUGCACCAACCUAAUAGAUCGGCCAGCUACAGGUCAGCCUUCAGAUGGCGGCAUAAGAGAUCUUGGGCCAGAAGUGCCCAUCUAUGCCACUCCCAAGUAUUUGACACACAGAGACUAUGAGGAUAAUAAAUGUACAUUGUUUUUUUAAGCCACUAAGUUUUGGGGGUAAUUUUGUACAAUGAUAGAUAACCAAUACAAUAUCCACCGUAUGUAUGUGUUACGAUUUAUUUAUUCCCAUCUAGUUGGACAUCUAGGUUGUUUCUAGUUUUAUGCUAUUUCAGGGAAUGCUGUAAGAACAUACUUAUAUUUAUGUAACUCUUUAGGAUGUAUUUCUGGAAACAGGGUUGUUGGAAUUCAUAUUCUUUUUUUUUUUUUUGAGACAGAGUCUCACUCUGUCGCCCAAGCUAGAGUGCAGUGGCGCAAUCUUGUCUCACUGCAACCUCUGCCUCCCAGGUUCAAGCGAUUCUCCUGCCUCAGCCUCCUGAGAAGCUUGGAUUACAGGCACCCGCCAUCAUGCCGGGCUAAUUUUUGUCUUUUUAGUAGAGAUGGGAUUUCACCAUGUUGGCUAGGCUGGUCUUGAACUCCUGACCUCAAGUGAUCCACCCGCCUCGGCCUCCCAAAGUGCUGGGAUUACAGUUGUGAGCCACCAUGCCCAGCCCUAGAACUCAUAUUCUAAAUUGUGAUAAACAUUGGUAAACUACAUUCCAAAAAGGUUAAAGAUUCUAUUGUUUUUCUCUUCCACCAGUGGGUAUUAUGACACUUAUUUCUCCAUGCCAUUGCCAACAAUUAGUUUUUAAAUCUUUGCCAAUCUUAGGUGACAAAUAAUACAUGAUUAGUGUGCAUUCUUUAUUAAUGAGGUGAAGACAAUAUAUCAGGAGUUUAUUGGCUAUUUGCAUUUCUUUUGUAUAAUUUGUCUUUUUGUGUUCUUUCACCAUCUAUUUAAUCUUGCUGUGACGGGAUUAUUUAUAGAUUAUGAGUUUUUUUUGUUUUUGUUUUCGAGACAGGGUCUUGCUCUGUUGCCCAGACUGGAGUGCAGUGGCGCCAUCUCAGCUGACUGCAGAUUCAACCUUCUGAGCUCACGAAAUCCUCCCAUCUCAACCUCCUGAGUAGCUGGGACCACAGGUGUGUGCCUGGCUAAUUUAAAACAAUUUUUUGUAGAGAUGGGGUUUUGCCAUGUUGCCCAGGCUAGUCUUGAACCCCUGAGCUCAAGGAAUCUGCCCACCUCGGCCUCCCAAAGUGCUGGGAUUACAGGUGUGAGCCACUGCGCCUGGCCGAUUAUGGGUAUUUAUUAAUCUGUUGUCAUAUAUGCUGCAGAUAGUUUCUCAUUAUUGUGUAUCUGGUAUGAUGUCUUUUGCUAUGCAGGGAUUUUCCAUUUUUAUAUUGUCAAAUUUCUUUUAUACCUUCUGGGUUUUUCCAUCAUGCUUAGAAAAACCUUCCCCAUCUCAAGAUUGUAAAUGUUUUUUAAUUCUUUCUGCUAGUAUUUAAAAAUAUUAUAACUUUUUAAUAUGGUGUGGGAGAGACUUGACAAUUUUUUUUUAAAUUAGAUAGUUGAUUAUUUCACCAUCAUCCUUACUCUACUGAUUUAAAUUACCUGUACCACAUACUGAAUUCCCAUAUGUAUAUGGCUUAUUUAUAAGCUCACUCUUUUUUUUUUUUUUUUUUUCUGGAGACAGGGUCUUGCCCUGUGGCCCAGGCUGGAGUGCAGUGGCAUGAUCUCGGCUCACUGCAACUUCCACUUCCUGAGCUCAAGCAGUUCUCCCACCUCCGCCUCCCAAGUAGCUGGGACUAUAGGUGGGACUAUAGCCACCACGCCUGGCUAAUUUUUGUAUUAUAAGAUGACACUUAUGUUUAAAUGAUUUUAAAAAGUAAUUAGUCUUGAAACAGUUCUACAUGUUUUUAAUUAUUUUAUAGAAUGUUUUCAUAUUGAGAGGGCAAUUGACCCUUCAUUACACUUCUUUUAACCACAUAUUUUGGCAAUUUCUGCAUAUUUAUUUGCUCAGAUAAACUUUAUAAUCAUUUACUAAGUUCUAAAACAGAAUCCAUGGAAAUUUUUACUAGAAUUAUAUAAAGUGUUUAGAAAUGUUUGGGAGAAAUGAGAUAUUUACAAUGCUGAGUAUUCCCUUACAGAAACAUGUAUGGGGCAGUUUGGUAUACUACAUAUAUUUUUUUCCAACAGUACUUUCAUCCAAUUUAGUUGACUUUUCAAGUAUCUUGGUAAAAGUCAAUGCAAUGGUCGCCAAACUUCUUUUAUUUAUUUAUUUAUUUAUUUAUUUAUUUAUUUAUUUAUUUAUUGAGACAGGAUUUCACUCUGUUUCCCAAACUGGAGUGCAGUGGCGCGAUCUUGGCUCUCUGCAGCCUUGACCUCCUGGGUUCUAGCGAUUCUCAUGCCUCAGCCUCCUGAGUAGCUGGGACUACAGGCGUGUACCACCACACCUGACUAAUUUUUGUACUUCCAGUAGAGAUGGGGCUUCACCAUGUUGGCCAGGCUGGUCUUGAGCUCCUAGCUUCAAGUGAUCUGCCUGCCUUGGUCUCCCCAAAGUGCUGGGAUUACAGACGUGAGCCAGUGCGCCCAGCCUCCAAACUUUUAUCAGAAAAAAAUUUUGUCUUCUCUUUCUGUAUACAUAUAAACAUUUUUUUUUUUAAAUGAGGCAAGGUCUCACCAUGUUGCCUAGGCUAGUCUUGAACUUUUGAGCUCAAGUGAUCCUCCAGCCUUGGCCUACCAAAAUGUUGGGAUUACAGGCAUGAGGCACCACACCCAGCCCAUAUAAACAUAUUUUUAAGCAAAGUGACUACACGUGGAAAUCCUAGUGUUUUCUGCAUACAUUCCAUUGGAUUGUUUUACACACACUGUGUAUGACUCAUGUCAGAGACCACAGAGGUGGGGCCUGUCUAUGGCAGUCCUCUGAGAUUGGCUUGGCAUGCGUGGGUCUUAGGGAACCCAGGCCAAGUGUCAGGGAUGAGCUUCCUCUAUGCUCGCAUCAUUCCAGAGUCCCACAGUCACUGACAUCACAUUGGAUUCCUCUUUCCCUCCUUUAAAAUGUUUGUCAAUAGAUGGCUUCUCCUCUGUGAGUCUUCAUGUGGCAGGCCAGGUCUCACUAAUGCAGGCCUCCAUGACAACCGUUUCAGUACUGACUGAGUGGCGAAGUUAAAUAUUAAAAGCUGAUAGAGCCAGUGCCCUAUACAAAUGCUGGAAUGUAACAAAAGCCCACCAAGAGUUCUGCCCUGGCCUUUCCUGGGCCUUGAAGCAUGACAAGAUAAUGAGGAAUUUUCCACAGGACCCGUUUGGGAUUAUACAGGUUUUAUUGGGGGUCUGAAGAAACUCCCCAGGCCUCCACAGGCAAGUUUAUUGGGGUCUGAAGGAACUCCCCAAACCAUGAUUUAGCAGGAAACAAGAUAAGGGUAAUCACCCCAGCACCUGGACCCAUUUAGAUUAAAUAAAUUUACUGAGGCUCCAGGGGAAGGUCUUCAGGACUCAGAUCUUAGUUAGAGAUCAGAAAAAGUCGACCACUUAUGUCUGUAGAUGAAUGCACACUUACACACAGACAUAUAGCUUAGAAGGUAUAUAAGCUCUGGAACACUGUGAUUUUGAGUUGGUCUGGGGAUAAUUUCUAGGCCUUCUCCCUGUAUCCAGUUACAGAAAUAAACUCCCUCCUUUCCCAGUUCAUCUGCGUCUCAUUAUUGGGCUGUGAGAAUAAGCAGCCUGACCCUCGAUUUGGUCCGGGAACAUUCAGAAAAAGCAUUAUGAAAUAUUGUUUGUGUUUUUUCUCUUCCUUUGUUCAACUUUAUAUUAACUAGAUUUGUAGUGCUUUAAAAUAGUGAAAUUUUUAGACAGAUUAGCGUAGGUGCACAAAUCCAAGGAUUCUAUAAAAUGUAAAGUUCACAAAGUAUUUACAUAUGGAAUUUUUGUUUCAUUUUCUUUUAAAUUAUUAUUGUUACUAUUUUUGAGACAGAGUUUCUCUCUUGUCAUCCAUUGCACUCUUGUCAUCAGACCGAGUGCAAUGAUGCGAUCUCAGCUCACUGCAACCUCCAUCUCCUGAGUUCAAGUGAUUCUCCUGCCUCAGCCUCCCAAGUAGCUGGGAUUACAGGCAUGCACCACCACGCCUCACUAACUUUUCUGUGUUUUUAUUAGAGACAGGGUUUCACCAUGUUGGUCAGUCUAGUCUCAAACUCCUGACCACAGGUGAUCCACGUACUUUGGCCUCCCAAAUUGUUGAUAUUACAGGUGUGAGCCCCUGCACCCGGUUAAUUUUUAGUAGAGGUGGGGUUUCAGUAUGUCGCCCAGGUUGGUCUCAAACUUCUGGCCUCAAGCAAUCCUCCUGCCUUGGCAUCCCCCAGCGCUGGUAUCACAGGGGUGAGUCACUGUGUCUGGCCUCAUUUUCUUCUUUAACACCUGCUUCUCUGCUUACCUCUACUUGUCUGUACUUUCUUCAUUUCCAUGGUUACCACCUACACUUUUUUCCAUUUCCAUGGUUAGAAUAACUGUUGUGUAUUUUUGAAUGAGGACACGAAUAGGUAAGGUAUUCAGUUAAAGCAGAUGAUGAUGUUUUAUUGCAUAAGCUUUUGCCACAUGUGCUGAUUCUCUAGAUGUUAGUCCGAGAAUCAGUGUCCUUGGCUGGUCCUUCUGGUUUGUUUCCUUGGACUGCUGUAAUGUCAUUUCCUGCAAAACAGGCAUGUACACAUGUGUCCACAAAUCUCAGCAGCAGAUUUUUCCCACUAAUAGAUGCCAAGGCAUAUUGUCAGGCCUGGGACUUUUUUUUUUUUUUUUUUUUCCCUGUUGUAAGCAGGACUUUCAGCCAGAAAAGGAUGUGUUUCUAACACUCUCGAAUUCAGACAUUUUAUCAUGCCUUAAAUUAUGGCUAAUCUAGUGCAGGGCUGGAUUUUCACUAACACUUAUCAAGUGCUCCCCACAAACCUUCCUGAGUCAACUGGUGGACAGAGAUGAGCUAACCCAAAGGACUCCUUAUGCAUAAAGUCCACAGGUUUGAUUGCAACUGUCCAGGUCCAAAAGCUCUGAGAUGGAAACUAUCCCAACAGCUAGAUGGAGUCUAGCUGUACUGAGUUGAUUUUGUUGUACUUUAGUGAUUCUCCACGUGAUAGAGGUAACAAAUCCAGCCUCCUCUCACAGGUUUCUCAUCACAAUCUCUUGACCCUUUUGGAUGUUCAGUCAAGAUACCAGGAAAUGAGGUUUGAAAUAAAUAGCUUUUCCUGUAACUAUCUUCAUUAAACCAGUUCAUUUAAAUACAAGGGUGAAUUCCCUAUGGCAAUAUGACCCCCCAGUGGGAAAAAACUGGUCCCUGGGGGUUGAAAAAAAUUACUAUUUUUAUGUAUAAAGCAUAGAUGUACAGACUUGGCGCUGUGUCUCAUGCCUGUAAUCCAGCAUUUUGGGAGGCCGAGGUGGGCAGAUCACCUGUGGUCAGGAGUUAGAGACCACCCUGGUCAACAUGGCAAAACCCCGUCUCUACUAAAAAUGCAAAAAUUAUCCAGGUGUGGUGGCACGUGCCUGUAGAUGCAGCUACUCAGGAGGCUGAGGCAAGAGAGUUGCUUAAACCUGGAGGCGGAGGUUGUGGUGAGCCAAUGUCACGCCACUGCACUCCAGCCUGGGUGACAGAGCAAGACUCCGUCCCAAAAUAAAGAAAAAAGGAAAAAGCAUAGAUACACUUACAGUACCUAGAAAGAUAAACAAUACAGUACUUCUGUGUCAUGGGUGGGGAAAUUAAUUGGGAAAAAUGCCUUGAAGGGCUUAGGAGGAUGGUAAUGAAAUAAAGGUGGAAACACCGAUGUAGACUAGGGUUUGGUGGUUGGAUCCUUGCAGAAUCCUGGUGGUUUACUUUUCCCUUUAAUGUAUUUCUCUAUAUGUAAAUGGUGGGGCAGACUGGAAAUAAGAGCUGAGGGUUCAGUACUGACCCAAAAGACAGUGGCUGAAAUGAUGUUUAUUUCUGUCAUGUAAGCAGUCUGGUUCCACAAUGUCAGGGACCCAGGGUCCUUCCAACAAAAAUGUCACAGUUGUUUUUUAAAAAAUUUUUCUUUUGUGGCAAAAAAACAUAAAAUUUACCUUCUUAACCUUUUUUUUUUUUUUUUUUGAGACAAGGUCUUGCUCUGUUGCCCAGGCUGUGAUCUCGGCUCACUGAAGCCUCCAUCUCCUGGGUUCAAGCGAUUCUUGUGCCUCAGCCUCCCAAGUGUCUGAGAUUACAGGCGCCCGCCACCACAUCUGGCUAAUUUUUGUAUUUUUAGUAGUGAUGGGGUUUCACCAUGUUGGCCAGGCUGGUCUCAAACUCCUGACCUCAAGUGAUCUGCCCGCCUUGGCCUCCCAAAGUGAUGGGAUUGCCACUGCGCCUGCCUGAUCUUAACUAUUUAUAAAUGUCCAGUUCAGUGGUAUUACAUUCAUAAUGUUGUGCAACCAUCACCAGCAUAUACCUCCAAAACUCUUCAUCUUCUAAGACUGAAACUCUGUGCCCAUUAGACCACCAUACUGUUUCCACAGUGAUUGUACCAUUUUACAUUCUCACCAAUGGUGCACAAGGGUACCAGUGUCUCCACAUCUUUACCAACACUUUAUUAUUUUCUGCUUUUUUAUGUUUUGAUAGUAGUCACCCUAAUGGGUAUGAGGUGGUAUCUCAUUGCAGUUUUGAUUUCCAUUUCCUUAAUGAUUAGUGAUGUUGAGCAUCUUUCCAUGUACUUGUUGGCCAUCUGUAGAUCUUCUUUAGAGAAAUGUCUAGUCAAGUCCUUUGCCCGUUUUUGAAUUGGGUUUUGUUGUUGAGUUUUAGGAGUUCUGUCCUGUGCUUGUUCUCAUAGUCAGUGAUCAUAACAUUUACAUAACAGGUGGCAGAACAGAGAAAGAAGGGGAGGUGGAACUCCCCUUAAUUUUGAGGGCACACCCAGAAGUUUCUUUCAUUUCUUUUGGGGGUAACUUCAGCUGAUGUAUUCUAUUGUUUUAUAAAACAAAACAAUUUUAUAUUUGCAUUACAAUAUGUUUAGAGAAAAGAUAGCCAUCAAAUACAGUGAAUGUUUCAAGGACAACUGGUAUAUUUUCUCAGCCAACUUUGAACUCUGUGAUCCUAGAUUCAUUUAAUCUCUUUUUUAGAAAAAUAUUUUUUAUUUUUAUUUUUAGAGAUAGUAUCUCACUCUGUUGCCCAGGCUGGAGUGCAGUGGUGCAAUUACAGCUCAUUGUAGCCUUGACCUUCUGGGCUCAAGCAAUCUUCCCACCUCAGCCUCCUGAGUAGUUGGGGGUGUUACCUGGAAGGGCAGAGUCCUCAGCUCUUAGUCUUCCUUGGGAGAAGGAAUUUGGCCACGAGGCAGUUUAGCCAAAAAAGAGAGAAUUGAUUGAAGGAAAAUAGAGAGCAGAGAGUUUAUUUAGAGAGACAGAAUACUCUGAAAGAUGAGGCAGAGCCAGCUGUGGAGACAGAAUGAGCCAGCAGCCACCCCGAGAAUUCUGCGGUGGGUUUUAAUGAUGUCAGAUUUUUUUCUGGAAGUUCCCACCUCUGUCUUAAGUCCCUGCCUUUUUUCUUUGUCUAGUUUCCCUGCUUCUGCCUUAAGUCCCUGCCUUUAUCCCUGCCGCAUUCCCUCCCAGGCUCACGGGACCCUCUCUUACUACUAGUUGGUGGGUAUGUGUGGCCGGUGUUGGGUAUGAACUCUACCAAAUGGCUGCAUUGCUCAUUGCCGCCACCCCAGGAGGUUGUAUAGAGGUCAGAUCUAUAUUUAUUGCACCUGGUAUCUCUUAGGAAUUUCUGCUUUGCCCUCUUUCCCUCCUUAUCAGCACACAGCUAGUGACAUUCUGAGAGGUUAACUGAAGAGUGGGUGAUUACUAGGAGUCUUAAGGGGUGCUCCUUUCUGCAUAGGUAUUUACCCUCCUCCUUGCUCACACUGGACUCAUUGCCCACCCCCUCCACCAUUAGAGAUGUUAAUAAUUAGCAAAUUUUGGGUGGUCCUUGGGCAUGAGGCUUCCCAGACCUUCCUUUUCUCAGGGGCUCCCCCUCCUGCUCAUGUCUAGCUGUUUGCCUACUGUAACAGGACUACAGGCGUGUGUCACCACACCCGGCUAAUGUUUGUAUUUUUCUGUAGAGAUGGGGUUUCACCAUGUUGCCCAGGCUGGUCUUGAACUCCUGGCCUCAAGUGAUUCUCCCUCCUUGGCCUCCCAAAGUACUGCGAUUACAGGCAUGAGACACUGUGCCUGGCGUGAUAUCUUCAGAAGUUUCAUGUAUCACUACUCAUAUCCCAUGAACCAUAACUUGGUCACAUGGCUUCAUGUAGCUACAAGGAAGCCUGGGAAAUACAGCCUACCUGGGCAGCUUUGUGCCCAGCUAAAAAUUCUGUGAUCAUAGAAGAAUGGAUGUUGAGGAACAACUGGCAGUACCUGCCAUUACUCAUGUGAAAAGUACAUUCUUUUGAAGGUUAAGGUUGAUGUGUAUGGCGUCAGGCACACCAUUAGUCCCUCCCUUCCUUCCUUCCUUCCUCCCUCCCUCUCUCCCUCCCCCUUUCCCUUCCUUCCUUUCCUUCCUCCCUCCCCUUCCUCCCCUUCCUCCUUCCUUCCCUUUCUUCCUUUUCUUUCUUCUCACUCUUCUUUUCCUUUCUUCCUCCCUCCCUCCCUUUCCCUCUCUUUUUUCUUUUUCUUUUCUUUCUUCUUUCUUUUUCCUUCUUUCUUUCCCUUCCCCUCCCCUCCCCUGCCCUCCCCUCCCCUCGUCUGCCUGCCUGCCUGCCUUCCUUUCUUCCUUCCUUCCUUCCUCUCCCUCCCCCUUCUUUCCUCCCUGCCUCCCUUCCUCCCUCCUUCCUUUCCUUUUUUUUUUUCUCUUUCUCUUUCUUUUCUUUCAUGUUGCUCUAUCAACCAGGGUGGUGUGUAGUGGUGCAAUCACAGUUCACUACAGGCUCAAACGAUCCUCCCACCUCAGCCUCCCGAGUAACUGGGACUACACCAGGCUAAUUUUUUAAUUUUUAUUUUUGUAGAGAUGGGGUUUCACCAUGUUGCCCAGGCUGGUAUGGAACGCCAGGCCUCAAGCGAUCCUCCUGCCUUUGCCUCCCAAAAUGCUGGGAUUACAGUGAGCCACUGUACUUGGCCUGAUGUCUUCUUGAAUUUCAAAAACUCUUACGAAUCUCACGCACUCUGUUGCCCAGGUUGGAGUGCAGCGGUGCAAUCUCGGCUGACUGCAACCUCUGCCUCCUGAGUUUAAGCAAUUCUCCUGCCUCAGCCUCCCGAGUAGCUGGGAUUACAGGUGCCCACCACCAUGCCUGGCUAAUUUUUGUAUUUUUAGUAGGGAUGGGGUUUCACCAUGUUAGCCAGACUGGUCUGAAACUCCUGACCUAAAAUGAUCCACCCGCCUUGGCCUCCCAAAGUGCUGGGAUUACAGGUGUGAGCCACUGCGCCAUGCCUUGUUCCACUUUAUCUUUCAAGAGUAAGUUUCAUCGUGGAUUAUGGUUAAAGACAAGUGCUGAUUUGGUUUUCCUACCUGAUCACGAGGCCACUCGAUAGAACUAGUAAGCUAUGCCUUGGGCCUGCAGGAUGGCACCUGACUUGAAGAUAGCACCUGACUUGAAGAUGGCACCUGACUAGCAUUUGGACUGGUUUGCAGGCUGAGCACAGGGUUGCUCCAGGUGGGCCCAAAUGCUGAAGAGCCUCAUGUUAGAGUUUUUCACCUCUGCGAUGGAACUGUGGUGGACUCCAGUAUCAUCAUUCCAGGGAGGCAUAGCCGCACCAACUGUGUUCCCAGGUUUCACAUGGAGAAGGGUUUUAGAAAGUGCAGAUAGCCUUGAAACCAUUGGUUUCCUACCACUGUUUAUUUCAGCAUAACUUUUUUUGUGUGGAAUGCUAGCUCUGGAAGAGCAGAAAUAAAUACAGCUUAAGCUUUGAACCAUAUCCUGCUGUACUUUUUCUCAUAAGCUGGAAAUAGAAUUUUCUAACACCGUUUGUGGUUGGAAAUACUGAAUUUAAAUGGGACUGCAGAUAUAAACAAAAAGAACAAGAUGUGGAUUGAUGUGCCUAUUUCAGUAAAACACAGCCACAUUAUUUCUGAAAUAUGGAUACUAAAGAUGACAAGUAGAAAAAAAAUUGGAGAUGUGCACAGUUG